GCAGUGAGAGCUCAACUCAGCUCAGAGAGCACCAGACUGAAGAUCAGGUUGUGUGUUCGAUCCAUUCUCACCGCA
rnacentral:tRNA from 1 species